rnacentral:rRNA from 1 species
GACAGAGGGUGCAAACGUUGUUCGGAAUUACUGGGCGUAAAGCGCGUGUAGGCGGUUUUGUAAGUCGGGUGUGAAAGCCCUGGGCUCAACCCAGGAAGUGCACUCGAAACUGCAAGGCUAGAGUAUCGGAGAGGUUGGUGGAAUUCUCGGUGUAGAGGUGAAAUUCGUAGAUAUCGAGAGGAACACCGGUGGCGAAGGCGGCCAACUGGACGAAUACUGACGCUGAGACUCGAAAGCGUGGGGAGCAAACAGG